rnacentral:rRNA from 1 species
AGCUAAUACCGGAUAACACCGAAAACCGCACGGUUUUCGGUUGAAAGGCGGCUUUUAGCUGUCACUGCAGGAUGGGCCCGCGGCGCAAUAGCUAGUUGGUGAGGUAACGGCUCACCAAGGCGACGAUGCGUAGCCGACCUGAGAGGGUGACCGGCCACACUGGGACUGAGACACGGCCCAGACUCCUACGGGAGGCAGCAGUAGGGAAUCUUCCGCAAUGGACGAAAGUCUGACGGAGCAACGCCGCGUGAGCGAAGAAGGUCUUCGGAUCGUAAAGCUCUGUUGUCAGGGAAGAACAAGUGCCGUUCGAACAGGGCGGUACCUUGACGGUACCUGACGAGGAAGCCACGGCUAACUACGUGCCAGCAGCCGCGGUAAUACGUAGGUGGCAAGCGUUGUCCGGAAUUAUUGGGCGUAAAGCGCGCGCAGGCGGUUCCUUAAGUCUGAUGUGAAAUCUCGCGGCUCAACCGCGAGCGGCCAUUGGAAACUGGGGAACUUGAGUGCAGGAGAGGGGAGCGGAAUUCCACGUGUAGCGGUGAAAUGCGUAGAGAUGUGGAGGAACACCAGUGGCGAAGGCGGCUCUCUGGCC